rnacentral:rRNA from 1 species
GACGAACCGUGCGAACGUUAUUCGGAAUCACUGGGCUUAAAGGGCGCGUAGGCGGGCGCGAAAGUCAGGGGUAAAAGCCCACGGCUCAACCGUGGAAGUGCCUCUGAUACUUCGGGCCUCGAGGGAGGUAGGGGCGUGCGGAACUUCCGGUGGAGCGGUGAAAUGCGUAGAUAUCGGAAGGAACGUCGGUGGCGAAAGCGGCGCGCUGGACCUCUUCUGACGCUGAGGCGCGAAAGCCAGGGGAGCGAACGGG